rnacentral:rRNA from 1 species
UGGGGAAUUUUGGACGAUGGGCGCAAGCCUGAUCCAGCAACGCCGCGUGAGUGAAGAAGGUUUUCGGAUCGUAAAACUCUGUUGGUAGAGAAGAACGUUGGUGAGAGUGGAAAGCUCAUCAAGUGACGGUAACUACCCAGAAAGGGACGGCUAACUACGUGCCAGCAGCCGCGGUAAUACGUAGGUUCCGAGCGUUGUCCGGAUUUAUUGGGCGUAAAGCGAGCGCAGGUGGUUUAUUAAGUCUGGUGUAAAAGGCAGUGGCUCAACCAUUGUAUGCAUUAGAAACUGGUAGACUUGAGUGCAGGAGAGGAGAGUGGAAUUCCAUGUGUAGCGGUGAAAUGCGUAGAUAUAUGGAGGAACACCGGUGGCGAAAGCGGCUCUCUGGCCUGUAACUGACACUGAGGCUCGAGAGCGUGGGGAGCAAACA